AUUGAACGCUGGCGGCAGGCCUAACACAUGCAAGUCGAGCGAGUGGCGGACGGGUGAGUAAUGUAUGGGGAACUGCCUGAUGGAGGGGGAUAACUACUGGAAACGGUAGCUAAUACCGCAUACCAUCAGAUGUGCCCAUAUGGGAUUAGCUUGUUGGUGGGGUAACGGCUCACCAAGGCGACGAUCCCUAGCUGGUCUGAGAGGAUGACCAGCCACACUGGGACUGAGACACGGUCCAGACUCCUACGGGAGGCAGCAGUGGUGAAGAUUGCACAAUGGGCGCAAGCCUGAUGCAGCCAUGCCGCGUGUAUGAAGAAGGCCUUCGGGUUGUAAAGUACUUUCAGUCGGGAGGCGUUACCGACAGAAGAAGCACCGGCUAACUCCGUGCCAGCAGCCGCGGUAAUAC
rnacentral:rRNA from 1 species